rnacentral:rRNA from 1 species
GACGAACCGUGCAAACGUUGUUCGGAAUCACUGGGCUUAAAGGGCGCGUAGGCGGUCGAUCACGUCCGGGGUGAAAUCUUUCGGCUUAACCGGAAAAGGGCCUUGGAUACGGAUCGGCUGGAGGGAGGUAGGGGCAGGUGGAACUUCCAGUGGAGCGGUGAAAUGCGUUGAUAUUGGAAGGAACGCCGGUGGCGAAAGCGACCUGCUGGACCUCUUCUGACGCUGAGGCGCGAAGGUCAGGGGAGCAAACGGG